rnacentral:rRNA from 1 species
AACGUAGGACACAAGCGUUAUCCGGAGUUACUGGGCGUAAAGAGCGCGUAGGCGGUUUGUUAAGUCUGCUAUGAAAGCUCUCGGCUAAACUGAGAGAGGCUGGCGGAUACUGGCAAGCUAGAGUGAGACAGAGGCAGAUGGAAUUCCGCGUGUAGUGGUGAAAUGCGUAGAGAUGCGGAGGAACACCAGUGGCGAAGGCGGUCUGCUGGGUCUCAACUGACGCUGAGGCGCGAAAGCGUGGGGAGCGAACGGG